CCUCUCCCCAAGUCUGCCAACCUCUCCGCACACACACCUAGCUCGCCUCAGAUCUGACAACCUUCCCGUUUCGGCCGCCACACAGCACUACCAACCGACGCGCUGCCCGCUGCUUCACUCACCAAGAUUGCCAACCCUACGGGCUGCCAACUGUCCCGACGCUGCUUGGCCACUACUUCCUAGCCUCCCUCAACCACCCCAAAAGAUUGUGGUCCUUCCCUGUCCCGCUCCACCUCAUCAAUCUAUUCCACCACGCGUACCAACUGUACAACACCUCGCAUCAACGUUAUUCAAUAGCAAUCAAUGGAUCUUGGUCCCCUCCAUGUACCAGUGGACAUGACUCAUCAAUCCGAGGUGUGCAAGGGUGCCAACACUGACAAGCUAACAUGAUUUCCCCGCUGCCUGGCGAGGUCCCCUGACUUUCACCGGAACUUUCAUGAGGGAGGCCGUCAUCUGAGCUGCUUAUAACACUCCCCUGGGGGGUGGGGCGGAAAGUACGUGUGUACAAUAUGAACAAGUAGGAGAAAUGAUGAGUAUACUGUAAAAUUCGUAUGAUAUGUUGUCUACUUGUGUUACCGAUAAAUAAAUAUUCAUGAGUCAAGGGCAAGAAGUAAUGAUGGGUGGUAACAUCACUGUAACUUCCAUUACAAGCAAGUUUCCUUUUUGAGGUUGUUGUUGUUAUCGUAAAUAAAUAUAAUGAAAA